GACGAACGCUGGCGGCGUGCUUAACACAUGCAAGUCGAACGGAGUGGAGAACGGGUGAGUAACACGAGGGUGAUCUGCCUUGCAAUUCGGGAUAAGCAUGGGAAACUGGGUCUAAUAACGGAUAGGGCAAGAAGAGCUCGCGGCCUUUCAGAGUGUUGGUGGGGUAAUGGCCUCCCAAGGCAUCGCCGGGUAGCCGGCCUGAGAGGGUGUACGGCCACAUUGGGACUGAGAUCCGGCCCAGACUCCUACGGGAGGCAGCAUUGGGGACUAUUGCACAAUGGGCGGAAGCCUGAUGCAGCUACGCCGCGUGGGGGAUGAAGGCCUUCGGGUUGUAAACUCCUUUCGACAGGGACGCGGUACCUGUAUAAGAAGCACCGGCUAACUACGUGCCAGCAGCCGCGGUAAUUC
rnacentral:rRNA from 1 species